AGUGAACGCUGGCGGUAGGCCUAACACAUGCAAGUCGAACGGCAGCACAGUAAGAGCUUGCUCUUACGGGUGGCGAGUGGCGGAUGGGUGAGGAAUACAUCGGAAUCUAAUUUUUCGUGGGGGAUAACGUAGGGACACUUACGCUAAUACCGCAUACGACCUACGGGUGAAAGCAGGGGAUCUUCGGACCUUGCGCGAUUGAAUGAGCCGAUGUCGGAUUAGCUAGUUGGCGGGGUAAAGGCACACCAAGGCGACGCUCCGUAGCUGGUCUGAGAGGAUGAUCAGCCACACUGGAACUUAGGCACGGUCCAGACUCCUACGGGAGGCAGCAGUGGGGAAUAUUGGAGAAUGGGCGGAAGCCUGAUCGAGCCAUACCGGGUGGGUGAAGGAGGCCUUCGGGUUGGAAAGACCUUUUGUUGGGAAAGAAAAGCAGCUGGAUGUUACCGCGCUGUUCUGACGGUACCCAAAGAAUAAGCACCGGGUAACUUCGUG
rnacentral:rRNA from 1 species